AGUAGAUCUAACUGUACAAGUGC
rnacentral:siRNA from 1 species